rnacentral:rRNA from 3 species
AAAUUGAAGAGUUUGAUCAUGGCUCAGAUUGAACGCUGGCGGCAGGCCUAACACAUGCAAGUCGAACGGUAACAGGAAGCAGCUUGCUGCUUUGCUGACGAGUGGCGGACGGGUGAGUAAUGUCUGGGAAACUGCCUGAUGGAGGGGGAUAACUACUGGAAACGGUGGCUAAUACCGCAUAACGUCGCAAGACCAAAGAGGGGGACCUUCGGGCCUCUUGCCAUCAGAUGUGCCCAGAUGGGAUUAGCUUGUUGGUGAGGUAACGGCUCACCAAGGCGACGAUCCCUAGCUGGUCUGAGAGGAUGACCAGCCACACUGGAACUGAGACACGGUCCAGACUCCUACGGGAGGCAGCAGUGGGGAAUAUUGCACAAUGGGCGCAAGCCUGAUGCAGCCAUGCCGCGUGUAUGAAGAAGGCCUUCGGGUUGUAAAGUACUUUCAGCGGGGAGGAAGGUGUUGUGGUUAAUAACCACAGCAAUUGACGUUACCCGCAGAAGAAGCACCGGCUAACUCCGUGCCAGCAGCCGCGGUAAUACGGAGGGUGCAAGCGUUAAUCGGAAUUACUGGGCGUAAAGCGCACGCAGGCGGUCUGUCAAGUCGGAUGUGAAAUCCCCGGGCUCAACCUGGGAACUGCAUUCGAAACUGGCAGGCUUGAGUCUUGUAGAGGGGGGUAGAAUUCCAGGUGUAGCGGUGAAAUGCGUAGAGAUCUGGAGGAAUACCGGUGGCGAAGGCGGCCCCCUGGACAAAGACUGACGCUCAGGUGCGAAAGCGUGGGGAGCAAACAGGAUUAGAUACCCUGGUAGUCCACGCCGUAAACGAUGUCUACUUGGAGGUUGUGCCCUUGAGGCGUGGCUUCCGGAGCUAACGCGUUAAGUAGACCGCCUGGGGAGUACGGCCGCAAGGUUAAAACUCAAAUGAAUUGACGGGGGCCCGCACAAGCGGUGGAGCAUGUGGUUUAAUUCGAUGCAACGCGAAGAACCUUACCUGGUCUUGACAUCCACAGAACUUUCCAGAGAUGGACUGGUGCCUUCGGGAACUGUGAGACAGGUGCUGCAUGGCUGUCGUCAGCUCGUGUUGUGAAAUGUUGGGUUAAGUCCCGCAACGAGCGCAACCCUUAUCCUUUGUUGCCAGCGGUUAGGCCGGGAACUCAAAGGAGACUGCCAGUGAUAAACUGGAGGAAGGUGGGGAUGACGUCAAGUCAUCAUGGCCCUUACGACCAGGGCUACACACGUGCUACAAUGGCGCAUACAAAGAGAAGCGACCUCGCGAGAGCAAGCGGACCUCAUAAAGUGCGUCGUAGUCCGGAUUGGAGUCUGCAACUCGACUCCAUGAAGUCGGAAUCGCUAGUAAUCGUGGAUCAGAAUGCCACGGUGAAUACGUUCCCGGGCCUUGUACACACCGCCCGUCACACCAUGGGAGUGGGUUGCAAAAGAAGUAGGUAGCUUAACCUUCGGGAGGGCGCUUACCACUUUGUGAUUCAUGACUGGGGUGAAGUCGUAACAAGGUAACCGUAGGGGAACCUGCGGUUGGAUCACCUCCUUA